rnacentral:rRNA from 1 species
GGGUUGUGAGGUUAAGCGACUAAGCGUACACGGUGGAUGCCCUGGCAGUCAGAGGCGAUGAAGGACGUGCUAAUCUGCGAAAAGCGCCGGCGAGGUGAUAUGAACCUUUGACCCGGCGAUAUCCGAAUGGGGAAACCCAGUGCAAUCCGUUGCACUAUCGUUAACUGAAUACAUAGGUUAACGAGGCGAACCGGGGGAACUGAAACAUCUAAGUACCCCGAGGAAAAGAAAUCAACCGAGAUUCCCCCAGUAGCGGCGAGCGAACGGGGAGCAGCCCGGAGUCUGAAUCAGCUUGUGUGUUAGUGGAACGGUCUGGAAAGUCCGACGGUACAGGGUGAUAGUCCCGUACACGAAAGCACACAUGCUGUGAACUCGAAGAGUAGGGCGGGACACGUGGUAUCCUGUCUGAAUAUGGGGGGACCAUCCUCCAAGGCUAAAUACUCCUGACUGACCGAUAGUGAACCAGUACCGUGAGGGAAAGGCGAAAAGAACCCCGGCGAGGGGAGUGAAAAAGAACCUGAAACCGUGUACGUACAAGCAGUGGGAGCCUCUUUAUGGGGUGACUGCGUACCUUUUGUAUAAUGGGUCAGCGACUUAUAUUCUGUAGCAAGGUUAACCGUAUAGGGGAGCCGAAGGGAAACCGAGUCUUAACUGGGCGUUAAGUUGCAGGGUAUAGACCCGAAACCCGGUGAUCUAGCCAUGGGCAGGUUGAAGGUUGGGUAACACUAACUGGAGGACCGAACCGACUAAUGUUGAAAAAUUAGCGGAUGACCUGUGGCUGGGGGUGAAAGGCCAAUCAAACCGGGAGAUAGCUGGUUCUCCCCGAAAGCUAUUUAGGUAGCGCCUCGUGAAUUCAUCUUCGGGGGUAGAGCACUGUUUCGGCUAGGGGGCCAUCCCGGCUUACCAACCCGAUGCAAACUACGAAUACCGAAGAAUGUUAUCACGGGAGACACACGGCGGGUGCUAACGUCCGUCGUGAAGAGGGAAACAACCCAGACCGCCAGCUAAGGUCCCAAAGUCAUGGUUAAGUGGGAAACGAUGUGGGAAGGCACAGACAGCCAGGAUGUUGGCUUAGAAGCAGCCAUCAUUUAAAGAAAGCGUAAUAGCUCACUGGUCGAGUCGGCCUGCGCGGAAGAUGUAACGGGGCUAAACCAUGCACCGAAGCUGCGGCAGCGACACUUAUGUGUUGUUGGGUAGGGGAGCGUUCUGUAAGCCGUUGAAGGUGUGCUGUGAGGCAUGCUGGAGGUAUCAGAAGUGCGAAUGCUGACAUAAGUAACGAUAAAGCGGGUGAAAAGCCCGCUCGCCGGAAGACCAAGGGUUCCUGUCCAACGUUAAUCGGGGCAGGGUGAGUCGACCCCUAAGGCGAGGCCGAAAGGCGUAGUCGAUGGGAAACAGGUUAAUAUUCCUGUACUUGGUGUUACUGCGAAGGGGGGACGGAGAAGGCUAUGUCAGCCGGGCGACGGUUGUCCCGGUUUAAGCAUGUAGGCGGAGGUUCCAGGUAAAUCCGGUACCUUAUUAACGCUGAGGUGUGAUGACGAGGCACUACGGUGCUGAAGUGAUAAAUGCCCUGCUUCCAGGAAAAGCCUCUAAGCAUCAGGUAACACGAAAUCGUACCCCAAACCGACACAGGUGGUCAGGUAGAGAAUACCAAGGCGCUUGAGAGAACUCGGGUGAAGGAACUAGGCAAAAUGGUGCCGUAACUUCGGGAGAAGGCACGCUGAUGUGUAGGUGAAGCCCCUGCGGGCGGAGCUGAAAUCAGUCGAAGAUACCAGCUGGCUGCAACUGUUUAUUAAAAACACAGCACUGUGCAAACACGAAAGUGGACGUAUACGGUGUGACGCCUGCCCGGUGCCGGAAGGUUAAUUGAUGGGGUUAGCGGCAACGCGAAGCUCUUGAUCGAAGCCCCGGUAAACGGCGGCCGUAACUAUAACGGUCCUAAGGUAGCGAAAUUCCUUGUCGGGUAAGUUCCGACCUGCACGAAUGGCGUAAUGAUGGCCAGGCUGUCUCCACCCGAGACUCAGUGAAAUUGAACUCGCUGUGAAGAUGCAGUGUACCCGCGGCAAGACGGAAAGACCCCGUGAACCUUUACUAUAGCUUGACACUGAACACUGGUCCUUGAUGUGUAGGAUAGGUGGGAGGCUUUGAAGCGUGGACGCCAGUCUGCGUGGAGCCGACCUUGAAAUACCACCCUUUAAUGGCUGGUGUUCUAACGUAGACCCGUAAUCCGGGUUGCGGACAGUGUCUGGUGGGUAGUUUGACUGGGGCGGUCUCCUCCCAAAGAGUAACGGAGGAGCACGAAGGUUGGCUAAUCCUGGUCGGACAUCAGGAGGUUAGUGCAAUGGCAUAAGCCAGCUUGACUGCGAGCGUGACGGCGCGAGCAGGUGCGAAAGCAGGUCAUAGUGAUCCGGUGGUUCUGAAUGGAAGGGCCAUCGCUCAACGGAUAAAAGGUACUCCGGGGAUAACAGGCUGAUACCGCCCAAGAGUUCAUAUCGACGGCGGUGUUUGGCACCUCGAUGUCGGCUCAUCACAUCCUGGGGCUGAAGUAGGUCCCAAGGGUAUGGCUGUUCGCCAUUUAAAGUGGUACGCGAGCUGGGUUUAGAACGUCGUGAGACAGUUCGGUCCCUAUCUGCCGUGGGCGCUGGAGAAUUGAGGGGGGCUGCUCCUAGUACGAGAGGACCGGAGUGGACGCAUCACUGGUGUUCGGGUUGUCAUGCCAAUGGCACUGCCCGGUAGCUAAAUGCGGAAGAGAUAAGUGCUGAAAGCAUCUAAGCACGAAACUUGCCCCGAGAUGAGUUCUCCCUGAGACUUUAAGUCUCCUGAAGGAACGUUGAAGACGACGACGUUGAUAGGUCGGGUGUGUAAGCGCAGCGAUGCGUUGAGCUAACCGAUACUAAUGAACCGUGAGGCUUAACCUUACAACGCCGAAGGUGUUU